rnacentral:tRNA from 2 species
GAUUCAGUAGCUCAGCUGGUAGAGCACAUCCCUUUUAAGGAUGGGGUCCUGGGUUCGAAACCCAGCUGGAUCA